rnacentral:rRNA from 1 species
UCCAGACUCCUACGGGAGGCAGCAGUGGGGGAUAUUGCACAAUGGGGGAAACCCUGAUGCAGCAACGCCGCGUGAGUGAAGAAGUAUUUCGGUAUGUAAAGCUCUAUCAGCAGGGAAGAGAAUGACGGUACCUGACUAAGAAGCCCCGGCUAACUACGUGCCAGCAGCCGCGGUAAUACGUAGGGGGCGAGCGUUAUCCGGAUUUACUGGGUGUAAAGGGAGCGUAGACGGCUGGUCAAGUCUGAAGUGAAAGCCCGGGGCUUAACCCCGGAACGGCUUUGGAAACUGAGCAGCUAGAGUGCUGGAGAGGUAAGCGGAAUUCCUAGUGUAGCGGUGAAAUGCGUAGAUAUUAGGAGGAACACCAGUGGCGAAGGCGGCUUACUGGACAGUAACUGACGUUGAGGCUCGAAAGCGUGGGGAGCAAACAGGAUUAGAUACCCCAGUA